rnacentral:rRNA from 1 species
GGAGGGAAAAAAGAAAACCAACAGGGAUUGCCCUAGUUAACGGCGAGUUGAAGCGGCAACAGCUCAAAUUUGAAAUCUGGCUCUUUUAGAGUCCGAGUUGUAAUUUGCAGAGGGCGCUUUGGCUUUGGCAGCGGUCCAAGUUCCUUGGAACAGGACGUCACAGAGGGUGAGAAUCCCGUACGUGGUCGCUAGCUAUUGCCGUGUAAAGCCCCUUCGACGAGUCGAGUUGUUUGGGAAUGCAGCUCUAAAUGGGAGGUAAAUUUCUUCUAAAGCUAAAUAUUGGCCAGAGACCGAUAGCGCACAAGUAGAGUGAUCGAAAGAUGAAAAGCACUUUGGAAAGAGAGUCAAACAGCACGUGAAAUUGUUGAAAGGGAAGCGCUUGCAGCCAGACUUGCUUGCAGUUGCUCAUCCGGGCUUUUGCCCGGUGCACUCUUCUGCAGGCAGGCCAGCAUCAGUUUGGGCGGUGGGAUAAAGGUCUCUGACACGUUCCUUCCUUCGGGUUGGCCAUAUAGGGGAGACGUCAUACCACCAGCCUGGACUGAGGUCCGCGCAUCUGCUAGGAUGCUGGCGUAAUGGCUGUAAGCGGCCCGUCUUGAAACACGGACCAAGGAGUCUAACAUCUAUGCGAGUGUUUGGGUGUCAAGCCCGAGCGCGUAAUGAAAGUGAACGGAGGUGGGAACCCGCAAGGGUGCACCAUCGACCGAUCCUGAAGUUUACGGAAGGAUUUGAGUAAGAGCAUGGCUGUUGGGACCCGAAAGAUGGUGAACUAUGCUUGAAUAGGGUGAAGCCAGAGGAAACUCUGGUGGAGGCUCGCAGCGGUUCUGACGUGCAAAUCGAUCGUCAAAUUUGGGCAUAGGGGCGAAAGACUAAUCGAACUAUCUAGUAGCUGGGUUCCUGCCGAAG